UCCUGGCUUAGGACGAACGCUGGCGGCGUGCCUAAUACAUGCAAGUCGAACGGUCUUUCUAUGGAAGCUUGCUUCCACUGAGAAGAUAGUGGCGAACGGGUGAGUAACACGUGGGUAACCUGCCCAUAAGAGGGGGAUAACAUCCGGAAACGGGUGCUAAUACCGCAUAGUUUUCUUGAUCGCAUGAUUGAGAAAGGAAAGACGGCCUUUGUGCUGUCGCUUAUGGAUGGACCCGCGGCGUAUUAGUUAGUUGGUGAGGUAACGGCUCACCAAGACGAUGAUACGUAGCCGACCUGAGAGGGUGAUCGGCCACAUUGGGACUGAGACACGGCCCAAACUCCUACGGGAGGCAGCAGUAGGGAAUCUUCCGCAAUGGACGAAAGUCUGACGGAGCAACGCCGCGUGAGUGAAGAAGGUUUUCGGAUCGUAAAACUCUGUCUUCAGGGACGAUAAUGACGGUACCUGAGGAGGAAGCCACGGCUAACUACGUGCCAGCCGCAGC
rnacentral:rRNA from 1 species